rnacentral:rRNA from 1 species
GAUGAACGCUGGCGGCGUGCUUAACACAUGCAAGUCGAACGGAAAGGCCCAAGCUUGCUUGGGUGCUCGAGUGGCGAACGGGUGAGUAACACGUGGGUGAUCUGCCCUGCACUUUGGGAUAAGCCUGGGAAACUGGGUCUAAUACCGGAUAGGACCAUCGUUUAGUGUCGGUGGUGGAAAGUUUUUCGGUGUGGGAUGAGCUCGCGGCCUAUCAGCUUGUUGGUGGGGUAAUGGCCUACCAAGGCGUCGACGGGUAGCCGGCCUGAGAGGGUGUACGGCCACAUUGGGACUGAGAUACGGCCCAGACUCCUACGGGAGGCAGCAGUGGGGAAUAUUGCACAAUGGGCGCAAGCCUGAUGCAGCGACGCCGCGUGGGGGAUGACGGCCUUCGGGUUGUAAACUCCUUUCGCCAAGGACGAAGCGUUUUGUGGCGGUACUUGGAGAAGAAGCACCGGCUAACUACGUG